CACGUAGGCGGACUGGAAAGUUGGAGGUGAAAUCCCAGGGCUCAACCUUGGAACUGCCUUCAAAACUAUCAGUCUAGAGUUCGAGAGAGGUGAGUGGAAUUCCGAGUGUAGAGGUGAAAUUCGUAGAUAUUCGGAGGAACACCAGUGGCGAAGGCGGCUCACUGGCUCGAUACUGACGCUGAGGUGCGAAAGUGUGGGGAGCAAACA
rnacentral:rRNA from 1 species